CAGCUCCCCGUCCGCUUCAGUCUUUCCCACAAGUGAAUCUCAUUCCUUGCGGGAGAUUUCGGUAUCCUGUGCUGCUUACCCACGAAAUGGAAUUCGAUGKAUUUGUUGCGUUGAUCCGUCUUGUGCCCUUGGGGUGCGGGAUGGACGCGAGGCUGGUUCUGUGCUCCCCGCGUGCCAAGUGUAUGGUCRCUUGGCCGUUGUGGCCCAUGGAGUCCUAGCUUGUUCUCUCGGAUGCGGAAUGCUACGCAUGGGCAAKAGGUCUCGGCCUCGGAUUGCCCAAGCAUUGUCCCUUGACUCGAACGACUGYCGCGCCCGUCUUGAUCUUCCCGACCAAGGCCCCGUAAUGGGGUUUACUGGACGAGGGUUGAUCAUGCGGGCGUCGGCGUCAAAGAGGAAUGC
rnacentral:misc_RNA from 1 species